CUCUACUUGAAUGUUGCGUACCUAAUUUUUUAGUGGCCAACAAUCUUGCACUGAUUCUUGCUAGGGGUCAUCAAGGAAACUCAAUAGAUGGCUAUUUCAGUGGAGAUUAUACCAGAGAUGUUGUUUUGAAAGUAUAUGCCAGGAGAGAAAGAUAUACUUGAAACCCGAUGAGGUCAAUGAUGUGGAGAUUUUACCAGAGAUGUUGUUUUCAAGUAAGAUUUUGUGUGAGAUUAUAUCGAUCGCACCAGCACGCCACAUUGUUGCUCCACGGCAAAGGCAGCGAGCGACUGGCUGGCUGCUGCUGGCUUGUACGUGUGGAAGGCAGUUGUUCACGGCAGACCAGUGAGCGGCGGCGGGUGGGCGCGACCACAUGGUGGUUGGAAGACUGAUCCCGGAGAGGAGAACAAGCCUCCGAGCACGUGCUCGUCAACUCCAUGCCGGCCGCUCCAAGCGCCCCUGCUUCGUGUCUUCAAGGCAGGCGCCGAGAUAGCCUUUGCAGCGAGCUGUGGUGUGUGGACUCUGCGGCGAGAUGGGAUUCAGAAUCCUUUUCCGUGAUAGCACAUCCAAGGAAGGAAGGAGAUUGAGGUUGGCACCUCCUGAAGGCAUGCAUGCUCUUCACCGAGAGAGGGAAGGGCAUCUUUUUCUUGGGUUGCAGUUUCCACCUUGUUGUUGGGUGAGCUGAUUCGUUGUUUGUCAGAGCUCUUGUGGAUAAUCAGACAUGGGGUGCAUGGCAAAAUUAGGACAGACUGAAGGCAGCAAAUUCUGC